rnacentral:lncRNA from 1 species
GUAGGAGAGAUAGGAUUUCCUAACUGGGUCCCAUUUCUAUUGUGUCAUGUGAUGCCUAUUUGCAUUCUUAGUUUUCUUCUAUCUUUUACUUCCUCAAGUAGCUCCUGGAGAGUAGAUUCCAUGUCUCCCUCCAUUCUUGGUUGCUCCACAGAGUUCUUCUUCUACUACUGUUCUAGAGAAUAUUGUGGAAUGAAUGAAAGAGAGAAGGGAGGAAAAGAAAAAGAAGAAAAUUAUCAUGAUGUAACUUGUUAAAAACAAGUUUCAAGGAAAAGAAAUAGAAAAGUUGUGUCAGGUAUAGGGAAUAGAGAGAGAAUAUUUAUUCUCCCCAGUAAAUUGUUAGCUUUCCAACAGGGCCUAGUAAACAGAGAGGAGGGUACUAAGUUCAGCUGUACAAGGACAGAAGUUUGAUCUUAAUUAGACUGACGUGGGCAGAGGUGCCUCAACAUAUCCUGCUGAAUCUGAUUUCUCUUUUUUGAAAUCACAGAGAGGUUUGAGAUUUAAAUGAUGGUUCUGCUGCACCUGUUCAGUCUCUUGCUCCUAGAGCAAGCAUUCAUCGGAUCCUGCUUAGAGUCACAAGAAAAUGAAGAGCAACCACUGAUAGGUUCUGCCAUUCCUUGCCAGGGUUCUUGGAUAGCUGGAUUGCAUGGAAGAGAUGGACAAGAUGGGAGGGAUGGACUCAAGGGAGAAAAGGGAGACCCCGGUGAAAUACCUAGCUGUCCCCAGGUACAUCCACCACAGUUUGGACCUCCAGGAAUUUCGGGUCCACCAGGACCUCCAGGGAUCCAGGGCAGGAAAGGAGAACCAGGUGAAAAGGAAUCUUCUAUAACUGAUGAGCAACUGAAGAUCAUCUCAGAAUUACAAAUGCGUGUCCUCAAAUUAGAAACUGAUAAUGGGAGAAAAUAAAAGGCUUCCCUUUCCCUAAUAUAUAAAAAACGGCAGAAGUGCUGAGGUCUAGACACUCAGAGCAGCUUCUGGGAAAAUUAUCAAGACUGACCUACUCAGAAAGAGUUCGCAAUUCAUCAAAAUAGCUCCAAUAAUUAUAACUAGUGAAAAUUUAUAUAAUGUCACUUAUUUUUAUCGUUUUGACUUUACAAGCCUUAUGUAAUUUGAUCCGCCCAAACACAAAGUCAUAUACUUAACACAGGUAUAAGUAUCCCAAUUUUAUAGGGAAGGAAACUAGGUUUCAAAGAAAUUCAGUGAAUUACCCAUGGUUCAACAGCCAUUAA